CCCAGCAAAGUGGUAGUGACUCAGCAUGAUAUGAGAGGCUCGCCAGGGUUCGAGUAACGAUAUUGGUACCCCCCCCGAAUGAGAAGAAGACUCAUGUCUCCUCUCGGUUUCCAUCAAGUGUUGGUGGAUGAUGAAAGAGUUUAAAAAUGUAAACUCCUUCAUGAAUUGGCUGGAAUGCAGUUGCAGCACAGCCUCCGGGACUGUCUAUCACUGAGAAUCGUGCCUUUGAUGAUAGCCGAAAUGAGGUAAUCAAAAUUACCUCUUUUUUUAUUUUUAUAUAUGGGAAAAUGAAAACUUGAAGUUAUUAACAUUGCUAAAUCGUUUAGAGUGGAAACUUACUUAUUCUAAAACCACAUAAAUCUGGGUUUACCGAGUUUUAGUGAGAGAAAUUAUUAAACCACAUAAACGAUUAGAAAGGUACACAACCAUUUUGAGCAGAUAUAUUUUCGCAUAAAUUCACAUGUUGAAAUAAACGAUUAAUCAUAUAUCAAACAAAUAAGGCGUUUUAUGUAAACUCUUCCCAUUGGAAAAUAAUUGAAUGCAUUUCUAAGAAGAUUUAAAAUUAUAGUCAUAAUUAAAGAUUACGCACCAUACGAACGAUUAAAUAUUACUCACCAUAUAGAAAGACGACAUAAUGCUCAACAUAUGAAAAUCCAAGGAAAUAGAUGGGCUAGAAAAUUUUAAAAAACAAAAAGUUUUACAAUAAUUCCUGCUUCUUAAUAAAAAUGCUUAUUUCUUCCUAAUCAAAACUGUCAAUGUAAUGGUAUUUCUCUCUUGCCUUGUUUGAAAUCAAAACUGUCAAUGCAUGUGUUGCUGGCACCCUUCUCCGAACAGAGCCAAAGACAAACAAAGAUUUCAACACACUAUGAGCACAUUUUUUGAGAGACGUCAGACAGCGAAAAUAGAUAUAACACAUGAAAAUUUACAAUUUAGAGAGUUACUAAUCAAAGAUCUUAAAACUGAAAGAAGCGAUAAUUCUCUUCAAUAAAGCCAGUAGAUUGAAAAAAUUUCAUUCAAUGUUUCUAAAUCGAAGAAUUUUUUAUAUCAAAUAGUUAACAUCGUCCAAUGGUAAGGGUGGCGUCUCAGCAAAUCAAAAGGACAAACGGAGAUCAGCGAGGACGAGUCAACAAAGCUAUUUUUAAGCGAGUCAAAUGCCUACAUCAAGUCACUUGCGUGGCUUGGAAACAAAGGGAUUCCCACCUUUAUAAAACAAAGUCACGACUUGUAGCUUGCAUAAAGCCAUCUCCAACCAACAUUUCAAUAGUCACACCGUUCACUACUUGGUUCCACAUCUUACAAGUUUAAGGCAUCAAUCUUUCUUUUGAUUACUCAUCUCUAAUAUAGAUUUCAGCAGCUCAAAGUAUUCUUUAUCCCUCCUUUAUUAUUGUUGAAAUUUGCUCAAUAUCUUUUAUUUGUACAGAGCAUGUUGAUAAAGAAAGUGAAACAGAAUUGGACGAGAGAAGGAGAGAAACUGUUUUUAUUUACUUCGACAAUUUUGUACAAUAACACACGUACUUAUAUAGCUGUCUUACGGUCGUAACAGUUGUGUCUUAUCCAACAAGUCACAACUCUUACCCAUACACCCUUGUGUCUUAACAAAGUCACGGUUAACAACUACCGAUUGAUUUUACAACACAAUAAUAUGUUAUAUAGAAUAACAUAAGACUAAACUCAAUUAUCACUGAACUCAACACACUCAAUUAUGUACAUAACUUCUCAAACAGAAUCAUUAACAACACUCUGUAAAUUUAUCAGCUUUUAAAAAAAGGAUUCUACCAUUACCAAAGUAAGUGAUAGAGAGCGGAAGCUAAAUAACGGACGAGAAUACAAGAUCUCUAAGAGAAGUCGGAUUCACGAACGGAUCUUGCUUAGAACGUCGAAACUUGACGAAGAAGCAAUAAAGAUAGGGUCGAGAUCGGUAGCGAUAUCGACGUGGUUUUGCAAGUCCUCCUUGCAGGGCUUGAACACAAACUCUUAGGGUUGAGAGUCCUCCUCUCUAGGCUUUACACAAAGCUCUCUUAAAAAACUCAAUUUAUUCAAUAAUCCAAAGCUGCCCCUCUUAACGCAUAAUCUAAGCCUUAUAUAAGGCGUUCAUAAACGAAAACCCUAAUCUAAAAACAUAAACGUAUAUACUAAUUAAAAGCCCAAAAUAAAAGCCCAUGUAUCAUAGAUGACGCUGCAUCAGUCUCCUCGGGUUAGAGAAGAUUCAUCCUCGAAUCUUGCGACGUUCGAUCUUGAAGAUGCGCUGCAUCAGUCCCUCCGGGUUAGAAAGAUUCGACCCGAAUCUUAAAUCGUUGAACAUAUGAUACCAACUGAUAGAGAGCGGAAGCUAAAUAACGGACGAGAAUACAAGAUCUCUAAGAGAAGUCGGAUUCACGAACGGAUCUUGCUUAGAACGUCGAAACUUGACGAAGAAGCAAUAAAGAUAGGGUCGAGAUCGGUAGCGAUAUCGACGUGGUUUUGCAAGUCCUCCUUGCAGGGCUUGAACACAAGCUCUUAGGGUUAAGAGUCCUCCUCUCUAGGCUUUACACAAAGCUCUCUUAAAAACUCAAUUUAUUCAAUAAUCCAAAGCUGCCCCUCUUAACACAUAAUCUAAGCCUUAUAUAAGGCUUUCAUAAACGAAAACCCUAAUCUAAAAACAUAAACGUAUAUACUAAUUAAAAGCCCAAAAUAAAAGCCCAUGUAUCAUAGAUGACGCUACAUCAGUAAGCAAAGCAAAUAAUAAACCCGUGUAUAUGAUAAUAGACAAGUAGCUAAGGACCAAAGCCGCACACUUAAAGUGUAAAAUUGGCAUUUGACCGUACAAAAAACCAAGAAAAUAGAGUCAACAUCCACAAAUAAGAUAGUGCAGCAAACUCAUACAUGAGAAAAUUGGACAGUGUAAUGUACUCACACUAAAAAAUUCCACUUUGUACACAAUUCGGAUCGAAUUUAGAUUAAGUUCCUUUACUUAUAGAAGUAAUGAAAAGAGAAGUAUUGCACCCAUGUAUUUCCUAAUUGCGAUACCAUAAACUAUUUAUCAGUUAUUUCUCCGGUUCUCCCAUAUCCAUGGCUUUAGGCUCAACAUCUCACACCCCUCAAAUGAAACAUACAAAACAACCAUCUCAUCCCCAAAAACCACAAUUGUAUUAUUAAACUAUAGGUCUAGUAAACCCAACGUAUUUACAAUAAUGGAACAAAUCUCAAAAAUAGUCAUUAACAAAUCUAUGUUUUGGGAACUGGGAAAAAGAUUCAGAUAUUUCUAAGGGUCAAACAAAUCUAUGAUUGAUUGCCCAUAGAACCCCAUAAAUCUAGAAUGAUAUUAAGUAGGAGAGUGUGUAAUCAACAAAGUCGAUAGAAGCAUAUAAAAAAAAAAACAAUAAGGAAAUCAACAGAAGUACUACUUCUAGAAACAAAUGAUCGCUGCAUGCAUAGACAUUAAGAGACAAGAACAAAAUGACUAACCUACGAUGAGGUUGAAGCGGUGGUGAGUGGUGACAAUGUUGAAUAGAGGGGCCGUGGCUCCACACGCCAACUACGGACCAUUGAAGAUGAAGAAGCCCUUGGUAAGAAGACGUUCACAGUCUCCAUACUUUCACCAUUGUCUCAUAUCCAUGGCCUGAUAAUAACGACAUGAUGCUGAAACUUUCAGCCUGAAAGUAACAAAAUUAAAUCAACCAUCACAUGUUUACUCAAACAAAAAAAAAAGUCACAACUACGAAUCUACACAAAGAAGAGAUUAGUGAUUACCUAAAAGAGGAGAUCAAAGAGCGUGACAACAACAAUGGUAAGGAGAUUCAAGAGCGAGCACGACAAGCGAUGGUAAAGGUGUCAGGUGUGGAAUCUCUAAAACGAUGACUGGCGGGGAUGAGUGAACGGAGGAUUGCAAAUCAGGGAUUUUAAAACAAAACAUAAAUUAGUAACACAACCAAAUUGAAUAAUCGAAGAACCAGGACAUAUGUUCUUCAUUGAAUAAUUGAAGAGCAUGACAAAUCGGCGAGUUAAAAGGAUCACCCUAGAGGCGAAAUUAGGCAACGCUGCAUACUCAACGGAGAAUUGGGAAAUUGAUUUUGUGAUUACUGUUUUUGAUUUUUAAUUUCUAUAUACUUUGACUUGAAAAAUUUGUAAGGGAACGACAGAGGAGAAAAAAUUCUUCAAAACUACAUUGAUGAAUCCCGAAAAUAGAUUUCUCAAGUGAAAAGUGUUGUGUCUUUCUGUUUUUAGAGAGGCAUUGAUUCGAGGGAAAAAGUAAUCUCAACCGUUAGUUUUGCUUUAAUAAAAGACGCGACUUUUGCUUUAAUAAAACAAUCUCAUCCGUUAGUUUUUCUUCUUUUUCAUACUCAACCGUUAGAUUAUAAAGAUGACGUCAGCAGACCCAAAAAAGUGGGUUUGCUAUUAUAUAUAGAUUCUUAAUUCAAUUUCUGUUACUACAAAUCAGAAACAGAACAUCACCUUAAUUAUCUGCAAAACCUGCAAAUUAAAAGACAUUGACUUGGUCUUUAAAUCCUGUGUUUGGCUUCUUCACACGAAUGGCAUUUCAACAAAGUUUCGUAAAAAUAUUGAAUAAACGCUAGAGAAAUUAUCUAUAACUAAGAAGUGAGGCAAGAGAAGUUAUCUAAACCUCUGAAGAUGACAAAGCUCAAUGGAAGGCGACUUUUACUAAACCGACUCUGAUCAGUGCCAAAAAUAACUAACUUUCCUCCAAAAUUCCUUGAGAAGCACGUUAGCCGGAAAACCUUUUAAAACCCUCAAUAGUUUCCAAUACGGCUCCUCUGGAUUAUACACCAUUAGUGGAUAAUACACUCUUGACUCAUGAAGAUUAACAGAAAACAACAUAUCAUCAAUCAAUCACACAACACGGCUCUUGCCACAGAGCAUUCAACAUAUCUACUCCUCCCCAUCCAUGACUUCAAAUUAGUUUUUUUUGGUUCGUAAGCAUAAGAACAGUGCUUAUCCCUCAUGUAAAUAUUCUCCUCCAUCACCACAUAUGUCACAAACUCAGUCACAGAGGUAUGUAGGUUCGGACAGAAGGUUGGUCUUAUUGCUGCUAGGAGGAGAGGUCAAGCUGCUGCUUCAGCCGCCAAGGCCGACUAGGGUUAUUUAAACAUAAAAGAAUUUGUUUCUCUUUUCUAUAUAUGUUUGAAGUUUUGUUGUCUUGUAUUUCCGUUUGGACGACCUUGUUCUACAAUUCUAAACAUUUUUAUGAUAAUCUUUAUCUUCCCUCUCUCUCUCUUUAAAAGCUUAUAGUAUACAUUGCAAAUUUUCAUCACAAGUUUUAUUAUUGUUCUCUAUCCGAAUCUUGUUUAUAGCUAGAUGAGUAAUUCUAUCACCUAAGCAUAAUUUGCUGUUGGUUAGUUUGCAAUGGUUCCCUAACGAACCGUAUCAAACCGAGUAUUUAGUUAUAUGUUUAAAACGUUUUAAGUAUCAAUAAAUUAGACAAAUAGCUGCCAAUUCCGAACCGGUGAAAAUGGUAGGGACUCAGCAUGAUGAGAGAGUCUCACCACGGUUCGAGUAGCGAUAUUGGUACC
rnacentral:lncRNA from 1 species